rnacentral:snRNA from 1 species
AUGCUUGUUUUGGCAGCUCAUAUACUAAAACUGGGACAAUACAGAGAAGAUUAGCAAGGACCCUUCCAAAGAUGAUCCUCAAAUUCAUGAAGCAGAAAAAUUGCAA